rnacentral:rRNA from 1 species
GCCUACGGGACGCAGCAGUGAGGAAUAUUGGUCAAUGGUCGGGAGACUGAACCAGCCAAGCCGCGUGAGGGAGGAAGGUACAGAGUAUCGUAAACCUCUUUUGUCAGGGAACAAAGGCGGGGACGUGUCCCCGGAUGAGUGUACCUGAAGAAAAAGCAUCGGCUAACUCCGUGCCAGCAGCCGCGGUAAUACGGAGGAUGCGAGCGUUAUCCGGAUUUAUUUGGUUUAAAGGGUGCGCAGGCGGUCUGGUAAGUCAGCGGUCAAAGCCCGGGGCUCAACCCCGGCCCGGCGUUGAAACUGGCAGU